rfam:Oleiphilus sp. HI0069 HI0069_c73, whole genome shotgun sequence.
CAUUGGUUCCCACGCAAUAAUAAGCUGUUAACCUGGUCAGGCCCGGAAGGGAGCAGCCAUAGCGGUGGAUUUAUGUGCCGAGGUGUAGCUGGUGGAA